rnacentral:tRNA from 1 species
GGAGCGUUGGCGUAAUUGGUAUCGCAAGGGAUUGCUAAUCCCUCCAGCAUGAAAUAUGGCUGUGCAGGUUCGAGUCCUGUACGCUCCG